rnacentral:tRNA from 1 species
GCUGGCGUAACUCAAUUGGCAGAGUGCUUCAUUUGUAAUGAAGAUGUUGAGGGUUCGAUUCCUUCCGCCAGCACCA